CUACGGGCGGCACCAAUGAGGAAUAUUGCACAAUGGGGGGAACCCUGAUGCAGCAACGCCGCGUGGAGGAUGACGCAUUUCGGUGUGUAAACUCCUUUUAUAUGUCAAGAAAAUGACGGUAGCAUAUGAAUAAGCACCGGCUAACUCCGUGCCAGCAGCCGCGGUAAUACGGAGGGUGCAAGCGUUACUCGGAAUCACUGGGCGUAAAGGACGCGUAGGCGGGUUGGAAAGUCAGGUGUGAAAUCCUACAGCUUAACUGUAGAACUGCACUUGAAACUUCUAAUCUUGAGUAUGGGAGGGGGAGAUGGAAUUAGUGGUGUAGGGGUAAAAUCCGUAGAUAUCACUAGGAAUACCUAAAGCGAAGGCGAUCUCCUGGAACAUUACUGACGCUAAGGCGUGAAAGCGUGGGGAGCAAACAGGAUUAGACACCCCCGUAGUC
rnacentral:rRNA from 1 species